GGAAGGGGCUUGUGUGUAAACCAUAAAGGAAGAGGCGAAGCAAGAGGUUUCACUUUUGCUAAAAUGCAUUUCUAUGGGUUUAUUUUGGACCUAAGCUUGUCGCCUGCAUUCCCGCCUUUGGCACAACGACCAUGGAGCCAGAUAUCUGCCAAAAGGUUGAACUGGUCUUCGGUAGUCUCUGUAUAGGCUAUUCCCUCCAUCGCAACACUGCUGCCCAGUUGAAGAGCUUGUGAUCUCCAUGCAACACCACAGCAGCAUGCGCCUUCAGAAAAGCACCCCUCAGCCUCAGAAGAUGCCCUUCUGGAGGCCUGCAGCCAUAGAGUCAUUGUACCCUAAUGUAGGACUAUUUGCAUAUUAGCCAAAUAAAGUGCAGAGCAUGCA